rnacentral:rRNA from 1 species
GUCUACGGCCAUAUCACCCUGAACGUGCCCGAUCUCGUUUGAUCUCGGAAGCUAAGCAAGGUCGGGCCUGGUUAGUACUUGGAUGGGAGGAGACCUAUAUGUAAUUAUGUAUU